UUGACCUCGGAUCAGGUAGGGAUACCCGCUGAACUUAAGCAUAUCAAUAAGCGGAGGAAAAGAAACCAACCGGGAUUGCCCCAGUAACGGCGAGUGAAGCGGCAAGAGCUCAAAUUUGAAAUCUGGCCCCUCCGGGGUCCGAGUUGUAAUUUGCAGAGGAUGCUUCGGGUGCGGCCCCUGUCUAAGUGCCCUGGAACGGGCCGUCAGAGAGGGUGAGAAUCCCGUCUUGGGCAGGGUGCCCGUGCCCGUGUGAAGCUCCUUCGACGAGUCGAGUUGUUUGGGAAUGCAGCUCUAAAUGGGUGGUAAAUUUCAUCUAAAGCUAAAUACCGGCCGGAGACCGAUAGCGCACAAGUAGAGUGAUCGAAAGAUGAAAAGCACUUUGAAAAGAGAGUUAAACAGCACGUGAAAUUGUUGAAAGGGAAGCGCUUGCGACCAGACUCGGCCUCGGGGUUCAGCCAGCAUUCGUGCUGGUGUACUUCCCCGGGGCCGGGCCAGCGUCGGUUCGGGCGGCCGGUCAAAGGCCCCAGGAAUGUAUCGUCCUCCGGGACGUCUUAUAGCCUGGGGUGCAAUGCGGCCAGCCUGGACCGAGGAACGCGCUUCGGCACGGACGUCUGGCGUA
rnacentral:rRNA from 1 species